rnacentral:rRNA from 1 species
AGAAUCAACGCUGGCGGCGUGCCUAACACAUGCAAGUCGAACGAGAAAGUGGAGCAAUCCAUGAGUAAAGUGGCGCACGGGUGAGUAACACGUGACUAACCUACCCUUGAGUGGGGGAUAACCUAGGGAAACCUGGGCUAAUACCGCAUAAUACCUUCGGGUCAAAGGAGCAAUUCGCUUAAGGAGGGGGUCGCGGCCGAUUAGUUAGUUGGCGGGGUAAUGGCCCACCAAGACUGUGAUCGGUAUCCGGCCUGAGAGGGCGCGACGGAACGACGACUGGAACUGAAACACGGUCCAGACUCCUACGGGAGGCAGCAGUGGGGAAUUUUGCGCAAUGGGGGAAACCCUGACGCAGCAACGCCGCGUGGAGGAUGAAGUCCCUUGGGACGUAAACUCCUUUCGAUCGGGACAUUAUGACGGUACCGGAAGAAGAAGCCCCGGCUAAACUUCGUGCCAGCAGCCGC